AGAGUUUGAUCCUGGCUCAGAUUGAACGCUGGCGGCAUGCUUUACACAUGCAAGUCGAACGGCAGCGCGGGGCAACCUGGCGGCGAGUGGCGAACGGGUGAGUAAUACAUCGGAACGUACCCAGAAGUGGGGGAUAACGUAGCGAAAGUUACGCUAAUACCGCAUACGUUCUACGGAAGAAAGUGGGGGAUCGCAAGACCUCAUGCUUUUGGAGCGGCCGAUGUCUGAUUAGCUAGUUGGUGAGGUAAAGGCUCACCAAGGCGACGAUCAGUAGCUGGUCUGAGAGGACGACCAGCCACACUGAGACUGAGACACGGCCCAGACUCCUACGGGAGGCAGCAGUGGGGAAUUUUGGACAAUGGGCGCAAGCCUGAUCCAGCAAUGCCGCGUGAGUGAAGAAGGCCUUCGGGUUGUAAAGCUCUUUUGUCAGGGAAGAAACGGUUGGGGCUAAUAUCCCCGGCUAAUGACGGUACCUGAAGAAUAAGCACCGGCUAACUACGUG
rnacentral:rRNA from 1 species